GGCAAAGCAGUGUGUGGACUCUUCUGGAUCCCAGAGACGACAUGCAGGAAAAUUAUGAGAACGUGAUCUCUUUGGCAGAGGAAAUUGCAAUCAGCUGGCCCCGGAUAACUGCUUUUGCCGAAUCUCACAGGAGAAGAGGACUGGCACCUGUUUCUUUUCCCAGACCCCAGGAGUUACUGGAUUCUCUCGUUGUUCCAGCAGAUGAUGGGAUGGUGAGUGACAAUGGGAAUGAGGAGGAGGAGGAGGAGGAGGAAGUGG